GGGAAUGUGGCUUAGUGGUAGGGUUCUUGCCUAGCAUGCAUGAAACCCUGGGUUCGAUUCCUCAGUACCA
rnacentral:tRNA from 1 species